AACUGUGCCCUGGUCUUGGAAAAGGACCUCAGGCUAAGAUCCUGGUCCAUAUAUUCAAGACCUCAGGCACAGUUUUUCCUUAUCUGGACCUCCUGACCAGUAAAUAACAUAUAUAUAUUACGGAAAUAAGAAGUCUGCGGUCUCGUCUGAUAUGCUUUCAUAAUGCACACACCCCUAACCAAUCAGAAAGGGAGGUCUGAAACAGUUACAGUACUUUACAUAUUAUCUUACCAUGCUUUGAAAAUGCUUUCCAGGUAGCAACUUUGGAGCGAUUCUUGAUAUUGUUAUCGACAGGUGCGUUUUGAAUGGAUUAAUUGUCAUGUGCUCGCACUUAUAUCCCGAUUACCUUGUGCUGUUUCAACUACUUGUGUUUAUUAACACUGCUUCUUUGAUGCUGUAUGUCUUGAGCCGUAAGAUGAGUGGAACCUCUGGCCACAAGAAAACUGAUGACAACGAAUUCUACCUGGUCCGCUUGUAUUAUGCAAAUACAGUAAGUUGUUAGUGUUUC